UGAGGAAUAUUGGGCAAUGCCCGCAAGGGUGACCCAGCAACGCCGCGUGGAGGAUGAAUGUCGUAAGAUUGUAAACUCCUGUUAGAGGGGAAGAAUAGUACCGGUUGGACCGGUAUAUGACUGUACCCUCAGAGAAAGCCCCGGCUAACUACGUGCCAGCAGCCGCGGUAAUACGUAGGGGGCAAGCGUUGUCCGGAUUUACUGGGUGUAAAGGGCGCGCAGGCGGGAUAAAAAGUCAGUGGUGAAAUCCUACAGCUUAACUGUAGAACUGCCUUUGAUACUUUUACUCUUGAGUUCGGGAGAGAGAGACGGAAUGCCAGGUGUAGUGGUGAAAUACGUGGAUAUCUGGAAGAACACCAGUUGCGAAGGCGGUCUCUUGGUCCGACACUGACGCUGAGGCGCGAAAGCGUGGGGAGCAAACA
rnacentral:rRNA from 1 species